UGACCAACGUAUUUACAUUGUGGAGAUUUUGUAGUUACACUUGUGUUGAGAUUGACAUGAUUUUACCAUGUGCAAAGUUAUUACCCAAGUGUUAAAUCAUCUUGUCCAGUAGUUUCACAACUUAUUUCAUGCAUCUUAUUUAAUUUUAUGAAUGUGAUGUUCAGGACAUUGCACAAGAGGCUGUGAAGAAGAGACGUCGUGCUACCAAGUUAGAUGCCAUACUUUUGGUUUAGUCAAAAGUCUUGAUUGUCGAAUUAUUUUAAUCCUUUUUCUUUAUACAUCACUAAAUUAGAUGCCUGUAUUUUCGGGUGUGUUGCUUGAAAUCCCUAACUGCAAAUCUCUCUCACCUCACGCCGUUGUCAAAGAUCUCUCUGCUUCUCUAAGAUCUCUCUUCUUAAUACAAAUCCACCAUGAAUCUCUCUCAGCUGUGGUACAAAUCCUUAACCGCACUUGGGAUCUCUCUCAUCUCACGCUGCCGUCAAAGCAACCACCACCACGAAUAUGAACAGGUUUGUCUUCUUAAACCCUAAUCAUUUUCCGUUCUUCACACUUUCUGUUUCAGUAGUAAUGUUGAACUGAAAACAAAUCCCGAUGUGAGAUUCGCUAGAUCGAUUAAAGAGUGUGUGUUUUGAGAUGGGUUUUUUCAGUACCAUUUUUGGGGUUUUUGGAUUUGGUUUUGAUAGUGUAUUCUUUCUUAUAUGCAACAUCACAUGGAAAUACAACCCGGUUUAUUAAUCACAGGUAUUCAAUUUCCCAAGUUUUAACAGGAAUCAUUUGUGAUUAUUUGUUGACUGGCUGUUAAGGGAACAUUGUUGACAAGAAUCAUUUUCUAAUUGUUUUCUAUAGUUUAAUGCAAACUAAAUGAUUUCAAAAUGGAGACUCUAACUCCCGGAACAGAAAAUACCAGAGAUGACACCUCUAUCUCUCAGGCCAGCAUAUAGAUGGAUCCAACUCUGUUAAUGAUGAAUUAAACUCUGUACUAAAUGAAAACAAAUUGGCCGUAGAAGAGGUUGAUGCAGGAAUGGGGUCAUUUGGAAAUGAAGAAAAUUUUGCUCCUAUUGGUGAUGGACAUUUGCUAGUCUCAAAACAAAAGGGAUGUUAUAAGAAGACACUUGGAAUAGAGAAGGAGAACUCUUAUGGAAUCUCUAUAUUCAAAAAGUCCAGAUACAUAGGUAAUGCUCCAAAAGUUAAGAGAAGCGCAACAGGAAGAAGAGUUCAUUUCAUCUGAAAUUAGAAAGAGUGGUUUGAACUAUAUCCCGAGUUCCUUUCCAAUCCUUUCUUCAUUGCUGGAGAGUCAUAUGCCGGAGUUUAUGUGCCUACUAUUGCCUAUGAAGUAGUUAAAGGAAUUGAUGCGGAUGUGAAGCCCAGACUGAAUUUUAAGGUUGUGUUUAUCUUUAAGGUUGUGUUUGAGGUUAUUCUUAAUCCAAACUAAGUUGUUUGAACAUGUUUUUUUAUCGUGUAGGUGUUCUUGGAAUACUCUGAUUGCACUGCUUCUUUAGCUGCGAAAAAUGCUCUAAAUGGUCGGAAAUUUAGGGGUAAUAUUGUGACUGUUAUUUACUAUCCAGAAGAAAAUUAUCAUAUAUGAAGUAUGAUUUAUAACCACUUCAUAUAGGGGUAAUGUUGUGUGUAAUUUUGAAGUAUACAUUCAUUCCUUUCUUCAUUUUCUAUUGCGAUUGUUCAUUUAGAGACGGAUGCUUCAGUUGGUUUAUUUUUCAUAUUUGUUUCUAGGUUACUAUUUAUAAGCACCAAGCAAGUAAGCUAGCUUCCCUUAAUGGGAAGUUGUUUGGUAUUAACGUGGGUGAUUUUUGGUAAGGGGAUUGGUAUUAACGUGAUGCUAUGUUACACAUCAAACCAAAAACAAGAAAACAGAGGCACUGAAGAGUUGAGGUAACCGGUUACUUGGUUUCUGGUAACCGGUUACUCUGAAGCUAAAAGGAAAAAAACAUGUAGAAAAAGCUUGAAAACCAAGGGAAUGAUAUAUCUUGAUAAGGUAAUGCAUAUAUAUGAUAAAAGAGAUAUUUUUUAGCACUAAAAUGUCAAUGUUUAAGUUUUAGCUUUUACCAAAUAUUUGAAGAUCAAUCACAAGGCUAAUUCUUCAUAAAAAUUGCAAAUGAUCCAAAUGCCAUCGUAGUUAUUUUGCAUAUCUUUUUGAUAUAUGUUGACUUCAUCAAAAUAGAAUGCUUCUUGUAAAUAUGGAGAAGCUUGAGAUUACAAAACAUACAUUUGCUUAUAUCCAACAAACAAUACAUUCCAACAACAACAAACCUCGACUUUUCCUCUCAUUUUAACUAUGUCAUCAUCAUCAACAACAGUAAAGAAAAAAACUUUUUGGAUGUGGCAUUGAUUCAACCUUUGUUUUAGUUUUUCAAAAUAGAGUUUUUCAAAAUCUAUUCUUAUAAGACAAGUAGGCCAACAAAUUAUCAGGUUAUGAUGAAUGAGAUUGGCUUUUCAACAAAUGAUCUAAAAGAGCUUGUGCACUCUUUGUCAUAUGUGUAAGUGAAUUUUUGGAUUUGAUUGCUCUUGAAAUAUGUUUCUGCAAUAUCCCUUUUUGCCUCGAUCUUCUAUUUUGGCUUGACUGCUUCACAAGUUGGACAUUUCAUGUUUGAGGAUAAGUUUGAAUCGUCAUUGUUUUGUGCCGGUCAAAGGUCUAAUAGCAUGAGACUGACUUGGAUGUUGGAGUGCUAACCAUACAAGUACCCCCAACCCUUGAUAUGUCGCAUCGCAGAUUAACAACGUUGAUUCUAUAUCAACAAUGAUUAACAACAUGGAUUCAAGAUCGACUUCUCCGGUUCAAGAAGCAUUAUGUUUGCAAUC